UCCCCUCACGUAUUCCGGCCGCCAUGGACCUGCACCCCUGUAGUCCCUCCUCUCUCUCCGGCUUGAGCAGCGGCGGAGACGGGAACCACCCUUCCGAGCCAGGGUCCGGCCGCCGCUGCCGCCAACGCGCAGCCCCCGUAUCCCCUCCUCAUCGGUCGAUUUGAAUGGCCCCUACGAACUAGGGUUCCGGCCAUCGCUGACGCCGACCACCGUGGCGCAGCUGGUCGAUCUCCGGCCAGGAUGAUCCGCGGCCAUGAAGGUUUCGGAGGGCCGCGGCCCAGCCGGUCAAGUACUGGGCCGAGGCAGACGCGGUGUCGCCGGCGGUUGCCGCGGACCGCGGGGACGAAGCUGCAGGUCCUCUGAACAACGACAACGGACUCAUGUGAACAGAAGGUUGAUGCUGAUGAAAGAAUUUGGCUGGAGCUGGAUGGAGGAAUGAUAUCAUUAACUAUUUUUGGAAGGAUCAUAAAAAAUUUGUACUCAACCAAAAUAUUCUUCUUGUAGAAUAAUGAGGCAUGUGUUUUAGCUCCGGUCCGUCGAGCAUAUAUUUAAUCGUGUGUUCAUGUAGUCUAUGAUGAGAUGUUUAAGCUCCAUGUAAAUUUAUCUUGCCAACUGAAUUUUUUCAUGGCAUCAUAUUGAUGUUUCUUUGUCU